AGAUGCUUUUUGUUUUACAGAUCUUUUACCUUUACAGUGAACAGCAUACCUGGAGGGCAUAUCUUAGUGAUGGCAAAUAUCAUGCCAGUAACACUUGAGCUAUCGCUUAAGGAAUUAGUAUUGAGACCACAAAGCUUCUUGAUGAAAACAUGUUUUCGGGGAACAGUUAGAUUGUAUAAUCGUCAGAAUCGGUCUGCCCAAUUUGGAUGGCAACCAGUAAACACAAUAAAAGGGAUGGCAUUUUCCAUUCGCCCAGCUACAGGUAAUGGUUUAUUUUGUUUGAUUUAGACA
rnacentral:lncRNA from 1 species